UACGAAGGGUGCAAACGUUGCUCGGAAUUAUUGGGCGUAAAGCGCACGUAGGCGGCAUUGCAAGUCGGAUGUGAAAUCUUAUGGCUUAACCAUAAAAGUGCAUCCGAAACUGCAGUGCUUGAGUACUUAAGAGGAUCGCGGAAUUCCCGGUGUAGAGGUGAAAUUCGUAGAUAUCGGGAGGAACACCAGUGGCGAAGGCGGCACUCUGGGCCGGUACUGACGCUGAGGAGCGAAAGCGUGGGGAGCGAACAGG
rnacentral:rRNA from 1 species